AGCAGCCGCCACGGUAAUACGAAGGGGGCUAGCGUUGUUCGGAUUUACUGGGCGUAAAGCGCACGUAGGCGGAUCCUUAAGUCAGAGGUGAAAUCCCAAGGCUCAACCUUGGAACUGCCUUUGAUACUGGGGAUCUCGAGUUCGGGAGAGGUGAGUGGAACUGCGAGUGUAGAGGUGAAAUUCGUAGAUAUUCGCAAGAACACCAGUGGCGAAGGCGGCUCACUGGCCCGAUACUGACGCUGAGGUGCGAAAGCGUGGGGAGCAAACAGGAUUAGAUACCCCCGUAGUCCCUGUCUCUUAUAC
rnacentral:rRNA from 1 species